GGAAUUAUCAUGUAUCUCGACAAGUUAACUUCCCAAGAGGUCAUUAGUUUGGAACUGUCAACUGGAAUUCUCAUACUGUAUAUUUUCAAAGAGGGAAGAUUCAUUAGGAGGGGGAGUCCCAUAGGACCACAGGAAGUUGGGGUUUAUGCUUACACCAAGUGUUAAGUAUUGGUGCAACAGCAGAAGCCAAAUGUGACAAGAAAACCAAUGAAGUGGAACCAAGGAGAAGAAAAAGAAGGAUCUUGGAACAACAACAAGGCCUAUAUUAAUCUCUAAUUGACUUUGAACUUUCGAGUGUUACUAAUUGGUUGUUGUUCCAAUAAGUAGCAAAAUAAAUAAAGAAGGGUAGUGAUGUAACAACUAUAGGGUACCUAUUUAUGAGAUUUGGGUCAUGAUUCAUCAGAUGAGGAUAGUGAUAGAUAUUAGGAUGUAAGAAAUAAAUAAAUAAAUAAAUGGUUAUGCAGCAUUAAGUUCUGUGUAGUCUUAUUGUGAGUGGGGACCAACUUAAAAUAAUAUUAUUAUGGCAUAAUGCCAAACCCAAUGUUAAUCUUAAUGUAUUAAUGUUUGAAUACUAAUAUAAUGUGUAAUAUUUGUUUA